CCGGACAUUGAUCGCGCCGGUGCUCCGAGAGGAGCUUAAAAUGGGAACGCGGUGCGGGCUGUCCAGACCUGUUCUGGCUGGCCCAAAUCCGGGGCUGUCCCUGCAACUGUAAGCGGUGAGCGCGAUGCAUAUCGCGGCUGGGCAUAUGUCCCAUCCGCAGCCACUGGGCCGGACGCUAAAUCCUGCGAGGCCUGGGAAGGCCA
rnacentral:ncRNA from 2 species